rnacentral:other from 1 species
AGAGUCCUGAUGUGUUCGUUGUUUUACCUGAAGUUUUGACCGAACAAGAUUGUUACAUUGGGAGCCCGGAGUUCUCAAAGUGAGCAAAUGCCUCUUGGAUUAGAGGACUUGCAAAGUUUGGGACAGGACACCCACCUGCUUAGCUGCGGGAUCAAAACGAAGGCAUCUAAUGACGGCACGAUUGGGGCUCUU